AGCAAAAUCAGAUGCAGGUAAUGAUAAAGCUCUCUCUUAGUUGUUGUUCUUUUGCACAUGCACCAAAUUUGUUUGCACCAAAUUUGUUUACUGCAUCGUUCAGCAGUUUCAAUGUUCUGCAACAGGAAACCAAAGUUCGGAGAGGUUCAGUAACUUGCCUGUGGUUGCAGUGAAUUCAGGGUAGAGGUGGGAUGAACACCCCAUCUGGCUGAAGCCAAAGUUAUAGUCCCAGGUUCCUGGCUGAUUCAGCCUCAGAAAUUUCUCCUCUUCCAGGUGAACCUCCUGGGCCCUUCCGUUUCUGCCUCCCCCACUUCCUGCCUUAGCUUCAUUUCCAUGAAAAGCAAGAUAAAUUAAUUAUGUGCUAAUGAGUCUUCAGCAGCAGAAAAUGAGUAGGUGGCUAUGACAACGUGCUAGGAGAGUCUGUGUCUUCCGCCACUGGGGUGAGAUUCCGGGACACGACACAGGAAGGGCAGUGCUGGUUGGUGAACAUUUCUAUUGAGGCCUUCUGAUUUUGCCUGCUGUCAGGGUGAAAAGAAAACCUUCCCUGGGGCAGGGGCACUGUUGCUGAACCUCCUUCUCACUCCAGAUUCCAGAGAGUAGAACAGACCAUCCUCCUGCGUUAUGGGCCCCAGGGCUGUUUGAAGUCUAAAGUCCCUGAUAGGAGGAUGCCAGAAAAUGCAUUCAUGUGCCCAACUCACAUGUAAGGCCAAACAAACUGAAAUGUUGGAGUUUGGAGCAGAGAAAGUUUUAUUUCAGGGCCGUGCAAGAAGAGGGGUAGCUCAUGCCCCCAAACUCCAAACUUCCUGAAAGUUUUCAGCAAAGCAUUUUUUUUUCCUUCCUGCACCUGCAGCAUACAGAAGUGCCCAGGCCAGGGACUGAACUUGGCCAUAGUAGUGACCUGAGCCACAGCAGUGACAACAUUGGUUCCCUUAACCACUAGGCCACCAGGAAACUCCCAGCAAAACAUUUUAAAGGGUCAUCAAAUAGUUAACAUCUUCCAUUUGGUGGAGGGUUUUCACAUCUAUAAAACAACUCAGGAAAUGUGCAUCAGAUACUGUUAUCUAGGUACUUAUGUAAGAUACCCAGGGAAGGGUCCAUAGGGUCCCGCUCAGUUAGAAGGACACAGGGUGUCAUAGCUAUAAGGGAAGAAAAGUCACCUCAGGAGUCAGGUCAGCCCCCAAAGCACUUUGGACUUCCCAUCUCCUUAAAUUCAGAAUUUUCACAGAAUGUCCCACUGACCACAAGCCCGGGUAGGAACUGAGCAUCUUGAGUCUCUCUAGGCUUCCUCCUGUCCUGGCAAAAGGACUUUCUGGGAAAUACUUGAUGUUGGGCCUGUGACCUGGGUUCUGCUCCAGCAAGUUCCCCGAGGGGAGGGAAAGGGAGCAUUUCUCUACUUGGCUCUGUGUUAAUUAGGAAAAGGGAAAUGGCCACCCAGAACAGGUGCUGCUCUUCAGGGGACUGCAACGCUUGUUCUUAAAAAGGAAAUUGGUACAAAUGAGCUUAAAUGAAGCAGAAUUAAGGUUGGCAGGGAGCACUGGCAGUGGCUGGCAGGUGAACAGGGCGGAAAGGGUGAGCGAACAAAGAUGGAGCCCAUAUGUGGGGGAGGGGUGGUGUCCGCUCUUCAGGGCAGGGGGAGCAGAACAUCAGCUGUUAGGGCAGAGGAGGCCUAAGCAACCGUGGCUGAAGCUGUGGGCUGGAAUCUGCACCAGGGAAUCUCAAUUCAAUUCUAUAGAAAUUGGGGGCCUAUGGGGCAGCAGGUACCAUCUCUAGGUGCUGAGGUUUCAGCAGUGAAUCCAGGCUCUGAGCCCUGAGUGGUGCGUGUGUGUGAAUGUUCCAAAGGGAUGGGGGAAGAGGGGAGAGACAAUAAAUACGAUUUCAUUUUGUGGUAAUAGCUGUGAAAGCGCUGAAACAGGGAGAUGCGUGUGUGCCUGUGUGCGACAUAUGAACUCUUUAGCAUGGGUAGUCAGGGAGGCCCCUGUGAAGAAGGGGACACUGGGAUGGGUCAUUAAGGACAAACUGCUUCCUCCCUUCUGAGGUAAAGGAAAUAGUCAGUGCUGCACUAUCAGACAACAAAAUUCUUACCUUUCAACUAUAUGAAACAAUAGUUCUUUCUAAUCCUGAGAAGUCCACAACUAAACCUUAUUUGUGGUGAGGGAAACAAUUAAAUUUGUGUGUGUAUAUACAUACGUAUAUUUUUCUUUUAUGGCCACACCUGCAGCAUAAUGAAGUUCCUGGGCUAGGGACUGAAUCCAAGCCACAGCUGUGACCUAUGCCACAGCUGAGACAAUGCUGGAUCCUUAACCCACUGCACCAGGUCGGGGAUUGAACCUGCAACUCUGCAGCUACCUGAGCCGCUGCAGUCGGAUUUCUUAACCCAUUGUGCCACAGCAGGAACUCCAGUUGUUUUUUUUUUUCUGAUUGCCUACAACAUAUGGAAUUCCCAAGCCAGGGAUCAGAUGAAAGCCACAGUUGCAACCUAUGCCACAGCUGGGGCAAUGCCGGAUCCUUAACCCACUGUGCCAGCUCAGAGAUCAAAUUUGUGCCCCAGCACUCCAUGGGUGUGGCCAAUCCCACUGCAGCAAGUGGGAACUCCCCCAGGUUUUUUUUGUUAAUGGCCCAACCCAUGGUAUAUGAAAGUUCUUGGGUCAGGGAUCAAAUCUGAGCUGCCACAGAGAUAACACUGAAUCCCUAACCUACCACACCAGAGCAGAAACUCCUACACUGACUGAUUUUUUGAAUGUUGAACCUGUCUUGCACAUAAGUUCCAUUAGGUUAUAGUAUAUAAUUGUUUAUAUACAUUUGGUAAAUUAGAUUUGCUAAGAUUUUGUUGAGGAUUUUUGCAUCUAUAUUUUUCCUUGUGAUAUGCCAAUUGUUCAUAUAUUACGCCUUUUGAAAUUGCCCCAGAUAUUCUGUUCUUCUCCCUCCCCCUCCAUUCU
rnacentral:lncRNA from 1 species